rnacentral:rRNA from 1 species
GUCUACGGCCAUACCACACUGAACACGCCCGAUCUCGCCUGAUCUCGAAAGCUAAGCAGGGUCGGGCCUGGUUAGUACUUGGAUGGGAGACCGCUUGGGAAUACCAGGUGUUGUAGGCU